AAGAACCCCGGCGAGGGGAGUGAAAAAGAACCUGAAACCGUGUACGUACAAGCAGUGGGAGCACAGAGCAAUCUGUGUGACUGCGUACCUUUUGUAUAAUGGGUCAGCGACUUAUAUUCUGUAGCAAGGUUAACCGAAUAGGGGAGCCGAAGGGAAACCGAGUCUUAACUGGGCGUUAAGUUGCAGGGUAUAGACCCGAAACCCGGUGAUCUAGCCAUGGGCAGGUUGAAGGUUGGGUAACACUAACUGGAGGACCGAACCGACUAAUGUUGAAAAAUUAGCGGAUGACUUGUGGCUGGGGGUGAAAGGCCAAUCAAACCGGGAGAUAGCUGGUUCUCCCCGAAAGCUAUUUAGGUAGCGCCUCGUGAAUUCAUCUCCGGGGGUAGAGCACUGUUUCGGCAAGGGGGUCAUCCCGACUUACCAACCCGAUGCAAACUGCGAAUACCGGAGAAUGUUAUCACGGGAGACACACGGCGGGUGCUAACGUCCGUCGUGAAGAGGGAAACAACCCAGACCGCCAGCUAAGGUCCCAAAGUCAUGGUUAAGUGGGAAACGAUGUGGGAAGGCCCAGACAGCCAGGAUGUUGGCUUAGAAGCAGCCAUCAUUUAAAGAAAGCGUAAUAGCUCACUGGUCGAGUCGGCCUGCGCGGAAGAUGUAACGGGGCUAAACCAUGCACCGAAGCUGCGGCAGCGACACUGUGUGUUGUUGGGUAGGGGAGCGUUCUGUAAGCCUGUGAAGGUGUGCUGUGAGGCAUGCUGGAGGUAUCAGAAGUGCGAAUGCUGACAUAAGUAACGAUAAAGCGGGUGAAAAGCCCGCUCGCCGGAAGACCAAGGGUUCCUGUCCAACGUUAAUCGGGGCAGGGUGAGUCGACCCCUAAGGCGAGGCCGAAAGGCGUAGUCGAUGGGAAACAGGUUAAUAUUCCUGUACUUGGUGUUACUGCGAAGGGGGGACGGAGAAGGCUAUGUUGGCCGGGCGACGGUUGUCCCGGUUUAAGCGUGUAGGCUGGUUUUCCAGGCAAAUCCGGAAAAUCAAGGCUGAGGCGUGAUGACGAGGCACUACGGUGCUGAAGCAACAAAUGCCCUGCUUCCAGGAAAAGCCUCUAAGCAUCAGGUAACAUCAAAUCGUACCCCAAACCGACACAGGUGGUCAGGUAGAGAAUACCAAGGCGCUUGAGAGAACUCGGGUGAAGGAACUAGGCAAAAUGGUGCCGUAACUUCGGGAGAAGGCACGCUGAUAUGUAGGUGAAGUCCCUCGCGGAUGGAGCUGAAAUCAGUCGAAGAUACCAGCUGGCUGCAACUGUUUAUUAAAAACACAGCACUGUGCAAACACGAAAGUGGACGUAUACGGUGUGACGCCUGCCCGGUGCCGGAAGGUUAAUUGAUGGGGUCAGCGCAAGCGAAGCUCUUGAUCGAAGCCCCGGUAAACGGCGGCCGUAACUAUAACGGUCCUAAGGUAGCGAAAUUCCUUGUCGGGUAAGUUCCGACCUGCACGAAUGGCGUAAUGAUGGCCAGGCUGUCUCCACCCGAGACUCAGUGAAAUUGAACUCGCUGUGAAGAUGCAGUGUACCCGCGGCAAGACGGAAAGACCCCGUGAACCUUUACUAUAGCUUGACACUGAACAUUGAGCCUUGAUGUGUAGGAUAGGUGGGAGGCUUUGAAGUGUGGACGCCAGUCUGCAUGGAGCCGACCUUGAAAUACCACCCUUUAAUGUUUGAUGUUCUAACGUGGACCCGUGAUCCGGGUUGCGGACAGUGUCUGGUGGGUAGUUUGACUGGGGCGGUCUCCUCCUAAAGAGUAACGGAGGAGCACGAAGGUUGGCUAAUCCUGGUCGGACAUCAGGAGGUUAGUGCAAUGGCAUAAGCCAGCUUGACUGCGAGCGUGACGGCGCGAGCAGGUGCGAAAGCAGGUCAUAGUGAUCCGGUGGUUCUGAAUGGAAGGGCCAUCGCUCAACGGAUAAAAGGUACUCCGGGGAUAACAGGCUGAUACCGCCCAAGAGUUCAUAUCGACGGCGGUGUUUGGCACCUCGAUGUCGGCUCAUCACAUCCUGGGGCUGAAGUAGGUCCCAAGGGUAUGGCUGUUCGCCAUUUAAAGUGGUACGCGAGCUGGGUUUAGAACGUCGUGAGACAGUUCGGUCCCUAUCUGCCGUGGGCGCUGGAGAACUGAGGGGGGCUGCUCCUAGUACGAGAGGACCGGAGUGGACGCAUCACUGGUGUUCGGGUUGUCAUGCCAAUGGCACUGCCCGGUAGCUAAAUGCGGAAGAGAUAAGUGCUGAAAGCAUCUAAGCACGAAACUUGCCCCGAGAUGAGUUCUCCCUGACCCUUUAAGGGUCCUGAAGGAACGUUGAAGACGACGACGUUGAUAGGCCGGGUGUGUAAGCGCAGCGAUGCGUUGAGCUAACCGGUACUAAUGAACCGUGAGGCUUAACCUUACAACGCCGAAGGUGUUU
rnacentral:rRNA from 1 species